rnacentral:miRNA from 1 species
ACCCCACACAUUUAAGCC